rnacentral:misc_RNA from 1 species
AGUCGUAACAAGGUAUCCGUAGGUGAACCUGCGGAUGGAUCAUUAUAGGUUAUUUUGAAUGUUGUGUGAACAGUGUGGUUGCGGUUGUGGUGGGUGUGAUAUGUGGUAUAUGGUAUAUGUGAUAUAUGGUAUACGAUAUGAUAUAUAAUAUAUAAUAUACAAUAUAUAAUAUAAUAUCAUCCACCUUGACAACAUUGACGUACAUUAGUGCUGAAUACAUUAUAUAUUGAAAUAUAAACAACUUUCAGCAAUGGAUCUCUUGGCUCUC